CGGCGCACGGGUGAGUAACGCGUAUCCAACCUGCCCUUUACUAUGGGACAGCCCGUCGAAAGGCGGAUUAAUACCGUAUGUUGUCAUGUUGAUGCAUAUUUUCAUGACCAAAGGCUUCGGCCGGUAAAGGAUGGGGAUGCGUCUGAUUAGCUUGCCGGCGGGGUAACGGCCCACCGGGGCGACGAUCAGUAGGGGUUCUGAGAGGAAGGUCCCCCACAUUGGAACUGAGACACGGUCCAAACUCCUACGGGAGGCAGCAG
rnacentral:rRNA from 1 species